rnacentral:lncRNA from 1 species
UUUUUUUUUUUUUUUUUUUUUUUUUUUUUUAAACAGUGCAUUUCAGUGGUACUAGUCUGGUACUUAAAGGUCAAUUUUAUAAAAGAUGAUUCAAGUUAAUUCCAUUUUUCACUUAUCUUCUCUGUUCUAUUUUUUAACCUCGACUGUUUUUUUUUUUUUUACUAGAAAUCAUACCACAGUUUUUCCUAUUUUAUUUCUAAAACACUGAAAUUAUCUUGUGUAUAUUAAAGCAUCAGAAAACUAGAGAAGUCUUGAGGAUAAGAAUGUUAUAUACAUAUCAAUUUUCUCUAUCUCCCAGCUAAGCGCCUGGGUUAGGACACAGCAUAGGAGAUGGGUUCAAGGGGUGUGUGUGUGUGUGUCCUUGCCUGAAUCCUAAUGAUCAUAAUGAAAACUGCCCCAAAGCAGCCUUUCCACAUCACCUAUUCAUUUUCUCUGUUAUUUUUUCAAUAUUCUUUUCUGUAUUCAAUUCAUUCCAUGCUUCUGAUUAUGAAGAUGUUUUAAUGACCAGAGUCCACACUUCUCAUGACUGUCAAAAUUAAGUCCUAAAUCACUUUGGGCUGUUAAGAAGUCAGGAAACAUCUUACAUAAAAAACACGGGGUUCAUUUUCUAGGGUACUACUUUUUUUUUAGAAGUUAUACUUCAGAUGCUUUAGAUCAGAAGCACUUUACUUCUGAUAUAUGCUAGUGCUGUUUGAGCUUAAUGACAUUUAAAAAUAAUGUGUAAGGCAUUUUUAAAUCGCUAUAUAAUGAUAUAGCCACGUGAUAUCAGCCAUUGCUGAAACAAUAUCAAUUCUUAACCUGCACGUUUUUCAAGUAUGUCUUAUUCCAUAUUUAAUUGCAGUGAAUGGCGUUUAAAAUUAAAAUCUACUUUUAGAACCAGGGGCAUUUUUUCACUUAAGAGACCAAUUUUAAUCUGCUGUAGGUGGUUCUUUUGGAACUCUUGGUAAUUAUAUAGUAAAUGAGGAGAAGACAAGAUGUAAAUUAUUUCGUGAAAUAUUUUCCCCAACCUUGCAAGAUAUUUUAGGCAGAAGGAAACUUCGUACCAUGCUAAAAAAUGCAUAAUGUUUACAGUGACGACUUGAUGCUCUCUGGGGAAAGAGACUUAGGAGAACAUUUCUAAUAAUGUCUGAAUGAUUAUUUUAAAACUUUUCCAUAUUUGCCAAGAAAGACUGUUUCUGUUUAAUAGCUAGCUAACAUUUUAUUACUGCCUUCCAAAUAUGAAAAAAAAAAUGGAAUGAUGCAGUAUUAUCACCUGAAAUGAGUUAUGGUCAGGUUCCUAAUGUGCUAGUCAUUUCGUUUAAAGCAGGAAUGGGAAGAGUGCAGUAACUUAAAAUAGAUUUAUGUUGUGUGCAUUUCUAUCUAGAAUUAAUACAUUAUAAAAUAUUCUGCAGGCACCAUCCGUUCUUCUCUGUAUUUUUAGAAAAUAACAUUUUUAAUGGAUUUCAGACUUAUUGUGCUUAACAAUAAUUAAGCUACUUUGUUUGAACUAACCAUUUUUAUAUAACCUUGAAAAAGGUGUAGCCGAUGUUUGGGCGUAGUAGCCCCGGGGGAGCAACAAAGUCAUAAAGGCAGGGAUCAAACAAAUUUCCUAAUGUAGCCCUCGCAUGGGGUGAGGCAUCCCUACCCCAUGCCAUUAGCUAAAGGACAUUGUCCUCCUCCUUCACCAACCGCCCCCCCCCCCAAGGGAUGGUUAGGGCCAUCUUAGCCAGGGAGGUUUGGGAAUGUUGGAAAGAGUCUGUCAAGGAUUCCUCUGGUCUGGAGUUGGCUGCAGGGAUGUCCUGCCUCCUCCUGUAGGACAUGCACGGCCUCCUGGAGCCCUGGGCAAAUUGUCUCCCCUCUGGCAGUCACAUGUUGUCCGAUGCUCUCUGUCCCAUGAUGCUGCCUGCCUGUCAUGUAGGAACAGUCAUAUAGGAACUUCGGGGGGUCCUAUUCGGGGCCCUUGGCUACAUGUCAAGGAGUGCUUUGUGGAAUAAGACCUUUGAAUGUUUUUGAUCAUUCCGUGCACGUUCUUUAAAGUCCGUACACCUUCAAAAUGGGAAGUUCAAAACAGUUUCCAUCAGAUUUUACAUCGUGGUUGAGUAUAUAGAUUUGGUCAUGAUACAGAACCAAAUAUCCAUUACAACCAAAUUUCUAUAAUAUAGAACUUAUUAGAUUCGACUUAUAUAUCCUUUGCUGGCUUUUUUUUUUUAAUGGGUUACCACUAACUGUGGCUCAUAAAAAUCACCAUUUCCCGUGUUCCACCUCCAUUUUUCUCAUUAUUUUGUGAGGAGAAAGAAGAAUGGAUACUUUGAAGGUACAAGAAUGAUGGAUAUUUCUGUCUUCAUCUCAUUGCUGCUUACUGCCCACCACUCCUAUUCCCAAAAGCCACGUGCUCACAUUUACCUUCCCUUAGUCUUCCUCAGGAGUCCUAAUUACGGCAAAGUAAACUCAAAAAAAGGUUUAAUUGCAGGCAUCUAAUUCCACCUCAGAGCUCUAGUUCAUACUGCUGGACUACAUGGACCUUCUUAAAAUAGGAAUCUCAGUGGUCGCUCUAGCGAUAUGACAAUGGAAUCAUUAUUUAAUGUCUACAUUUUAAAAACAUGUGUUUCUUUCUAAUACAUUUUGUUUCCUGAAAGGAUAUUUCUUCAUUACAAUCAAAUGUUUAAAUGUUAAUAAAGUACUAACAGACCACAGGAAAUCUUUCAUGAUGCGUCUGAAAAACUUACAUUACCUAAAAUGGGCUUAAAAAAAAAAAACCAAAACAAAACAAACCUGAGGAAUGAUGAAUAAUAGUGUCACCUGCAUUACUUAACUUGGAAGAUUGCACUUUCCAUGUGCACAUUUUUAUGGUUAAGUUAAUUAGAAGAUGAAGUGCUUUAAGGAAAAUAAAAUUCACAUAAUUGCAACCCAUCUUCUCUGUUCUCCAAACAGUAAAACGUGUGGUUAUGUUCAUAAUAUUAAACGUGUACAGCUUGUCACUUCCUCGAGAAGAGAGGGUUUCGAUAGCACCCCUGAUUCCUGCCUGUCCCAACGUAAAGAGUGUCCCGCCUGAAACUCAUAGGUCUUCCAUUUUUCGCUAUUGCUACGAGAACUAAGUUCAAUUUCUGGAAUGUGGCCUACAAGGUCUCCAGCGAUUUGGAAAAGUGCUUCUCUCUUUAGCUCCACUUCUUUCCUUCCCUAGCUUCAUACUAUAGCUUAACAGGGUUCUAAUCGCUUUGUGUAUAAAUUUACAGAAAGUAACAGUUAUGCCCAUCCUUGGGAAACCGAGGCUCACUGCAGGAAGUACCCAUCCGUGGAGCUUCGGCCAUGACAGGCCCUCAAGCGACCCCCAAGGCUGAGGAGGUUGAGCAUCUAGUCUUGAAAUGUAACCUACCCCUGAAGGAGUGUGACGCUCCUCUGACACUGCGGUGGAGACCUUGGGCAGCUCCAUCCAUCAGUCUUCUCGUACAACGCUCUGUAGUUCUUCGUGAACUUGUUCUUUUCCUCCAUGCCCUUGCGCACACCGUUCGUUCUCAUUGAAACACACUCUUGCAAGCUUUAUUCUUACAUAUUUGCUAAAUAUCUUCUAGGACCCAGCCCAGGUAUCACUUUCUCUAGGAAGUCGUUUUUGAACUUUGAAGAUCCAUGAGAUGAACCUCCUCAGGAACAGCCAAGUACACUUUGUAAAAACCCUGCGAGUGUUCGUAAAUACGCAAUUUUCUGAUUCUUCUGUUUUCUUGUUCCCCUGCCUAUUGAUAUGCUCGAGUACUAUUUGUCCAAUUUACUUUUAGAUUUCUAGCAGCUAAUGCAGUUAUCAAGGAGUGGAUUUGAACUG